rnacentral:lncRNA from 1 species
GGUGUGUUUACCACACACUACUGCGUAGCCAGAGAACAGCACCCCCCCCCACGGACCCUGUAGGACUUGUUCCGAUAGUGGGUUGUUUUUUUUUUUUUAAUGGGACCUUGCAGGUGCCCCAUAAUAUUCAGAAUCACUGGAAAUUAGAUUUCUGGGUCACAUUUAAUAUUUUCUAAGUACUUUUUUUUUAUUGAAGUAUUGUUGAUUUACAAUAUCUUGAAGCCCACAUUAAAAAAAAAGUUAACCCUUUUCUCCGAGUUCCCAUUGCUAGGGGUUGAAUUGGAGCUGUAGCUGCCAGCUGUAGCUGCCAUGUGGGGAUCCGAGCUGCAUCUGUAACCUGUGCCACAGCUCAUGGCAAUGCUGGAUCCUUAACCCACCAAGCAAGGCCAGGGAUCGAACCCAAGUCCUCAUGGAUACUAAUGGGGUUUGCAAUCCCUGAGCCGCGGUGGAAACUCCUCCUAAAGUAUUUUUAAGUUAAGGUUUGUUCAUUGUUUUUUUUAGGCAUAAUGUUAUCGCACACUUAAUAGACGAGAGCAUAGUGAAAACAAAACUUUUAUCUGCACUGGAAACCAAAAAAUUCAUGUGACUCCCUUUGUCACAACGUUCAGUUUAUUGUGGUGAUGCCUGUUUAAGGGAGUCUUGGUAAUUAUGGUGAGAGGAAGGCUUGAUCCGCCUGAAUUUACUCUCUGGGCAGUACUGUCUUCGUCACAGAUGCUUAUCAUCAGUUCUCUGAUUUGUGCUAAAGUAUCAUUAGUCUGACUAGGAUCCAUGAGGAUGCAGGUUCAAUCCCUGGCCUCGCUCUGUGGGUUAAGGAUCAGGCAACACUGCCCCUUUGCUGACUGAAGGCUUUCUGACCACGUGGUCAGUGUUGAAAGAAAGGUGGGGGUGGGGAGCAGUUGAAUUGCAAGGGUACUUGGGGAGAGAGGAAGAACCCAGGAAGUAGUGCUGGACCUGAGGAAUAUGGAAGUUCGGGGCCAGGGGGUGUUGCUAGGAGCUGCACCUGCUGGUCUAUGCCACAGCAACUCUGGAUCCUUAACCUGCUGCAGGGAUGAACCUGCACCCUCAGGGACAGUGUUGGCCUCUUAACUCCCUGCCACGUUCCAUUUCUAACGCUGCCCUUGGUACUUCACCAGUCAGCUUUCAGUAUCAGGACCUCAGGCCAGAGCAUUUGGGGAGAGCAUGUGUGAAGAGGGGACUUUUGCAGGAAUGUGACUCCCGUGAGUCCUUGUCAUUAAGCCUAAUUCUGCUUUCCUGCUGCUGCUAGGCUAGCUUCCCCUUCCCGGAGACCCCAGACCCUGCCCUUCCUCCUUGGCACCCCAGCCCCCCACCAGCCUUUCUCAGGCAAUACCAUUCUCUAAGGCCCGUGUGAUUCUUCUAGCUCAGAUUCAGUUUCUGCAUCACUGAACUAAACCUUGGUGAUCUUGGGUGUGUGCUGGUGGCAGUAGAAAGUCCAGUGAGGGGCGGUCGCAUCUAAACCAAGGGGCUUGGAAGUGGAUGCUUUACCUGUUUCUCACACUUCAUUUGUGUUCCACCUGCGUGACUUUUGCCUUCUUUCUUUGCCAUCUGUACUAUUAUGUGACAUUUUUCUUUAAGCUGAUCCACUUUCUAAAAACUCUAAAACAUGUAAAAGGGAAACUAUCGUUGCCUUAAAUUGAAAACACUAUCACCUGUCAAAAAUGGAAGGUAAAUUUAAAAAAGCAUAGCUAGGGAGUUCCCAUCCUAGCGCAGUGGAAACGAAUUCAAUCCCUGGCCUCACUCAGUGGGUUGAGGAUCCGACAUUGCCGUGAGCUGUGGUGUAGGCCACAGACGCGGCUCCGAUCUAGUGUUGCUGUGGCUGUGGUGUAGGCCAGCAGCUAUAGUUCCAAUUGGACCCCUAGCCUGGGAACUUCCAUAUGCCUUGGGUGUGGCCCUCAAAAGGAAAAAAAAAAAAA